rnacentral:rRNA from 1 species
AUCGAACGCUGGCGGCAGGCUUAACACAUGCAAGUCGAGCGAGCGGCGGACGGGUGAGUAAUGUCUGGGAAACUGCCUGACGGAGGGGGCUAACUACUGGAAACGGUAGAUAAUACCGCAUACCAUCAGAUGUGCUCAGGUGGAAUUAGCUAGUGGGUGGGGUAAUGGCUCACCUAGGCGUCGAUCCUUAGCUGGUCUGAGAGGAUGACCGGCCACACUGGAACUGAGACACGGUCCAGACUCCUACGGGAGGCAGCAGUGGGGAAUAUUGCACAAUGGGCGCAAGCCUGAUGCAGCCAUGCCGCGUGAGUGAAGAAGGCCUUCGGGUUGUAAAGCACUUUCAGCGAGGAGGCGUUACUCGCAGAAGAAGCACCGGCUAACUCCGUGCCAGCCGCCGCGGUAAUUC